GACCUAAUAGUGUUGUCUUAACAUGGUUUUCACAAUACCGACCAUUCAAACGUUCCCUCGGUUCCCAAGCAUAAUUUGGAAACCACAGAACUUUCCCUGUCCUUGUGAUCUCGAUUUUAGCCCUGACAAUCAUGGUUCUCGUCGGGUAUCCACGCAUUCUCUUUUUAAAUACUGUGCGAAACGCUGCUAGGUAAAAAGGGGCUAAAUGGAUGACCAGCAAGUGAUAGGUGCGACAGAUCUCUAAAAGUUCUUACAGGCUCUGUUGGGCCUUGAUCUAUCUUCCCCUUUCAAGUUGAACAUAUAAGGGC
rnacentral:sRNA from 1 species